rnacentral:lncRNA from 1 species
UCAAAUAAAAAAUGUCAUGUGAGAUUCACCUCAAACAAGUUUAUACACAAAAUAAUUAUAUAAUUCAUGUAAGUUUCACAUAUAAUCUUCUUUGAGAUGAAAUGUAAAAUUCAUGUGAGUGAAAUUUACCUGUGUAGUUUGUUGGUUUGUAACUCUGUCUAUCCAUGUGUUUUGUAAGGGCAACUCCUUUUAAGGAUGUUUGCUGCUCAGUUUCAAAAUAAAUAACUUUCCAUAAAACUAGUAUAUAUUGAUAGGGGAUUAAUUGAUGAAUCAAAAAAGCCAAAAAGAUAUAGGGGCCAAUGUGCUUGUUUUCGAGAUAUUAGCCAUUGGAAUUUUGGCGGGAAAAUGUUCUCUCUUGACUUUUCCUAGCUUUAUCAUUGCCCAGUUAAAGUUCUCAAAAACUAUUAAAAAAUAAAUAAGAUUUUAUAAGACUUUUACAAAUGGCUUAUAAUUAUACAUGUAAAGGAUUUAUAAAAAGAAAAAUGAGGUUUCAAGGGCAAAUUUUUUUAA